GAGUGAGGGAGGGGAUGACUAGUGACAGAGUGAGGGAGGGAAGUGGUGACUAGUGACAGAGGGAAGGGUGACUAGGGACAGAGUGAGGGAGGUUGUGACUAGUGACAGUCACCACCUCCCUCACUGUCACUAGUCACCCCCUCCCUCACUCUGUCACCAGUCAUCCCCUCACUCUGUCACUAGUCACCCCUUCCUUCCCUCACUCUGCCACUAGUCACCCCUUCCUUCCCUCACUC